rnacentral:tRNA from 1 species
GGUGGUGGCAGAAUCAAACACCCCAGAAGAGACUCCAGAGGAGGAGUUUUAUGCCUAUGUGGAACUUCAGACUGAGUUGUACACCUUUGGUCUGUCUGAUGACAAUGUGGUUUUCACUAGCGAUUAUAUGACUGUGUGGAUGAUUGACAUUCCCAAAUCUUAUGUGGAUGUGGGCAUGCUCACACGAGCAACUUUCCUGGAGCAGUGGCCGGGUGCCAAAGUGACUGUCAUGAUUCCCUACUCCUCCACCUUUACCUGGUGUGGAGAGCUUGGCGCCAUCUCUGAAGAAUCUGCCCCACAACCAAGUUUGAGUGCCAGAUCCCCGGUCUGUAAGAACAGUGCCAGAUAUUCUACCUCAAAAUUUUGCGAGGUAGAUGGAUGCACAGCUGAAACUGGCAUGGAAAAGAUGUCUCUGCUCACUCCAUUUGGAGGCCCACCUCAACAGGCUAAGAUGAACACUUGCCCAUGCUACUACAAGUACAGCGUGAGCCCACUGCCUGCCAUGGACCACUUGAUCCUAGCUGACCUAGCUGGCCUGGAUUCUCUCACUUCACCUGUUUAUGUGAUGGCAGCAUAUUUUGAUUCUACACAUGAAAAUCCUGUGAGACCAUCCAGCAAGCUUUAUCAUUGUGCUCUACAGAUGACAAGUCAUGAUGGGGUGUGGACUUCAACUUCCAGUAAUGGCCCCAACACCCCCACAAGGAAAGAUUCCCAAUCCGUGGCCUGGUGGAUGCUCUCAAAAUCCAGUGCUAUGGGGUGAUGGGACAGACGGGAACUACCGUCCCAGCGAGCCCUGGAUCUUAGGCCAAGUGCCAUGUGAUCAGCGCUUUCCCCAUCCCUCAGGAAAUAAAAACAGUUCCUCUACAUCUGGGGGCAGACCUCAGCGCCCGCCUUUGCCAAGGACUCGCUUUCCUAAAACCAUAAGAAGGGGAUUCAAUAAACUUAGGUCGACGUUAAAGUCCCCAUGGAAGCCGCGGCCGAGUCCUGUACCAAGUCCUGAAGAAGUUAACCCUGCAGGAAGUCCUGAAGAAAACAUCUAUGAAACUGCUAACAGUGAACCAGUCUAUAUCCAGCCAAUCUCUACGAGGUCCUUAAUGAUGUUGGACUCUGGCUCGACUGACAGUCCAGAAAAUCUAGGCCCACCUACAAGACCUUUGCCUAAACUCCCGAACCAACACCCCAUGAACCCUGAGAUACGUCUUCCUAUUAUUCCACCAUCCAAAUGUCAUAAAGGUUUUGUGGAGUGGGGCGAGGAGUAACAGUGAAGGUGCUAACGCAGAACAUAACUUUUUCUUUAAACACGCCUGGAAGGAGAAGCGUGACAGACCAGACAAUCCCAUCACCCAACCAGGUCUCGGACACUCUUUUACAACCCUAGGAGAGCCAGAUAAAAAUUUUGUGUUAAGCAAGAAGAAAAACUCACUUAGGGUUGGUCAGAUCUACUUGAUCUCCUGACCAAACCCCCAGUGAGUGCUGGUAAAGAAGAGCUCACAUGAGAUAGCUUACAACCUACGCGGCCACUCAACAGACUCUUCCCAUGCCAGCGCCCGGACUUGAACCGAGAACCUGCAGGCUUGGUGGCCGCUGCUCUAACAAUUGAGCUACGCUGGCAAUUAUCUAAAAAGGGGAAAACUUUCACUGAACAUUCUGAGUGGCACGAGAAUUAUUUGCAUGUGUGUGAGCAGCCACUGUUCCAUGGGUGCAUAUUUGGGCGGUAGGGGCUGAUAGAGGGUAGUCUUUGGUAUGCUUGAUGUGGCUGCCACGCCCACUGUGGAAGGUGGCACUCAGUAGGUGACAGCAUCCACUUAAUGGACUGAAGCCCGUCAUGACACAACCGUUCAUCUAGAGGCGCAGCUGUAGAUGGUAAGAACUCCCUCACGCUUUCUGCAGUAAAAGAACUUUGUUCACCA